rnacentral:rRNA from 1 species
UACGUAGGGGGCAAGCGUUGUCCGGAUUUAUUGGGCGUAAAGAGCGUGUAGGCGGCUUUACAGGUCCGUUGUGAAAACUCGAGGCUCAACCUCGAGACGCCGGUGGAAACUGCAAAGCUAGAGUCCGGAAGAGGAGAGUGGAAUUCCUGGUGUAGCGGUGAAAUGCGCAGAUAUCAGGAGGAACACCGGUGGCGAAGGCGCCACUCUGGGCCGAAACUGACGCUGAGGAGCGAAAGCGUGGGUAGCAAACAGG